rnacentral:lncRNA from 1 species
GAACUGGGCCUGUUGGCUGCAGCCUCCGAGCAUGGCACAGGCUGCACUCACAUGCAGACAUACAUGAAAGGGUGGCACCUGGCUUCCAGGACAGCAAAGCACUGAGAAGAAUCAUAGAAUGGCCGAGGUUGAAAAGGGCCAUAACGAUCAUCUAGUUUCAACCCCCCUGCUAUGUGCAGUUGGAUGUUGUUUCAACUCGUGAAGCAGAAGUGACCACAAGGUGUUGGAGAAAUCAUUUAUUGGCACAGUCGUUUCAUUCAGAUACACCAAAGUUCGGUUUCAAUGAGUAAGCAGAGGUACAGGGCUAUUUUACAGUACAAGGGGAGAGCCUGCUUCACUCAUGUCAGCCCUGUGGCCUUAGCUCAGCAAUAUACUCUGUGCUUUAAGAGAAGAGAAAAAGCUCUUUCGUUACGUUAGCACUGGCAGAUCACACGAUUCCUCCUCCAGUUAUUACACCUCCCACCCCCCCAGUAAAAAAAAAAGGUUAUUUCUUCCUUGACACCUAUGGCUCAAAGAAAGCUUUAGGGGUGUGCAAAUUAGCAAGAUAACUGCAAGCACCUGCAUGAGCUCCCUGCAGCAGAGCUGGGGAACACCCCUCGUUUGCACCCAACGUUCAGCAUCUGCAGUCCCAAAGCACCACACCAGCUUGCUAAAAGCAGCACCCUCUCCAAGGCACGACCCAAAGCACAACCAAGCUGCCUUGGACAGGAGCAGCUUGCCCUUUCCAGCACUCUCCCAAGUGCUGCAGAACAUUUGAUCAAAGGCUCAUGGAGCUCAGGCCAGGCCCUUCCCUAGGAUCAAUAACUCCAGACUACAUCAGGAAGGAGAGGAAAAAAAAAAAAAGAGUUAAAAAAGAAAAUGAGUGGUUUAAAGCAGCCAAAAUAAUGGAGCAGAGUGAGCAGUGCACAAAGGACUUAACACAGGCAGGAGGGGCUCUGUGCAGCUGCAGCCAGAGCCAGCCCCACAUCAGGUUCUUCAGCUUCCUGUCAUUACAAAGUCCUAGCCCAUCCAGCAAGGCACAGGCUCUCUUGCCCACCCUCCUCCUUUUGAGUGCCAACAGCAGCCAGACCAGCCCAGCCGCAAGUGCACAAGCCAUGCAUGGACAGAGCCUACACUUCCCAUCUCUGCUUCCCCACCAAGUCCCUAUUCCCAGCACAAUACACCAAAAUGGAAGGGCUCCAGGCUACCCAAAAACCACAGCACAUGGGGCCAGAGAGCCCUCCAGCAGUCCUCUGAGGAGGGAAUGCCCUCUGGCUGCAACCCACCAGGAGCAGAAGGGCUUGCAGCUCACACCAAUACGAGACCUGCCACCUCCAGCUCCACCGUACAACUAAAACCAGAACAAAAUAAAAAGAUAAAAAGCUUUAAUUAAAGGAACCUCAACUAUAGUCUCUUAAGAGUGGGGGCUCUGUGCCCAACCCGCUAUCAGUUAAAAGCGUCAGGGACUCAGGGUUAUUUGUGGUGUGAUCAACUCAUCAGCAGUGAUGCAGGAGGAUGGUUACACCCUUGUCCAGUAUUGCUCCAUCCUGGGGACGCCAGCCACAAUCUCGGACUCGAUGCCACAGUGGUCCUCUCCUCGGAGGAUUUUGAAGAAGCCAUUAUCCCCCCAGUCAGUGUUCCAGGAGUUGGCAGCCAACCAGUACGGGGUCCCGUUCUCGACGCCCCAGCCCAGGAUCCGGAUGGCGUGGCCUCCAACCUGCUCCCCUGACACAUGCUGGUACACCCCAGAUUUGUACAUCAGGAAGUCCUCAUAGACAAUAAAGGCUCCUUCCACUGGGCCGUUCUUGUAGAUCUCAGCCAUGAUUUCCUUCUCGCUGCGAGGGACACCGUAGGAUGUGAUGCCGUAGUGCUUGUCCUCCUUGUAGGAAGGCGAGUAGCCAGGUUCGCAGUGCCGGCUGCACCUGGGGGUUUCUCCUCCCUCCCCAGUGCAAGGUGGCCGGGAGCCAUUGACGUGGUGCUCACAGGGUGGGAUGGUGUAGGGCCGGCAGCCCACAUGGGAGUCAUAGAGACCCCCAGACACGAGGCCCCUCUCUGUCCAGUACCUCCAUGCACCAGAAGGAUAACCACCAUUGCACCUGCAGAAAGAGGCAGCUGUAUGAUCUCCGACCUGCUCGGAGCCAAAGCCAUCCCCUUCUGAGGGAGCAACUGAACCAGUUUGGGACAAAAAGCCACAGGCAAAGGGCUAGUGCCUGAAAACCAAGGCAUUGUGGUUAGCAGAAG